rfam:Sorghum bicolor cultivar BTx623 chromosome 4, whole genome shotgun sequence.
GGGUCCAUAGCUCAGUGGUAGAGCAAUUGACUGCAGAUCAAUAGGUCUCCGGUUCGAACCCGGAUGGGCCCU